GAUGAACGCUGGCGGCGUGCCUAAUACAUGCAAGUCGAGCGAACGGACGAGAAGCUGGCUUCUCUGAUGUUAGCGGCGGACGGGUGAGUAACACGUGGAUAACCUACCUAUAAGACUGGGAUAACUUCGGGAAACCGGAGCUAAUACCGGAUAAUAUUUUGAACCGCAUGGUUCAAAAGUGAAAGACGGUCUUGCUGUCACUUAUAGAUGGAUCCGCGCUGCAUUAGCUAGUUGGUAAGGUAACGGCUUACCAAGGCAACGAUGCAUAGCCGACCUGAGAGGGUGAUCGGCCACACUGGAACUGAGACACGGUCCAGACUCCUACGGGAGGCAGCAGUAGGGAAUCUUCCGCAAUGGGCGAAAGCCUGACGGAGCAACGCCGCGUGAGUGAUGAAGGUCUUCGGAUCGUAAAACUCUGUUAUUAGGGAAGAACAUAUGUGUAAGUAACUGUGCACAUCUUGACGGUACCUAAUCAGAAAGCCACGGCUAACUACGUGCCAGCAGCCGCGGUAAUACGUAGGUGGCAAGCGUUAUCCGGAAUUAUUGGGCGUAAAGCGCGCGUAGGCGGUUUUUUAAGUCUGAUGUGAAAGCCCACGGCUCAACCGUGGAGGGUCAUUGGAAACUGGAAAACUUGAGUGCAGAAGAGGAAAGUGGAAUUCCAUGUGUAGCGGUGAAAUGCGCAGAGAUAUGGAGGAACACCAGUGGCGAAGGCGACUUUCUGGUCUGUAACUGACGCUGAUGUGCGAAAGCGUGGGGAUCAAACAGGAUUAGAUACCCUGGUAGUCCACGCCGUAAACGAUGAGUGCUAAGUGCUAGGGGGUUUCCGCCCCUUAGUGCUGCAGCUAACGCAUUAAGCACUCCGCCUGGGGAGUACGACCGCAAGGUUGAAACUCAAAGGAAUUGACGGGGACCCGCACAAGCGGUGGAGCAUGUGGUUUAAUUCGAAGCAACGCGAAGAACCUUACCAAAUCUUGACAUCCUCUGACAACUCUAGAGAUAGAGCUUUCCCUUUCGGGGGACAAAGUGACAGGUGGUGCAUGGUUGUCGUCAGCUCGUGUCGUGAGAUGUUGGGUUAAGUCCCGCAACGAGCGCAACCCUUAAGCUUAGUUGCCAUCAUUAAGUUGGGCACUCUAAGUUGACUGCCGGUGACAAACCGGAGGAAGGUGGGGAUGACGUCAAAUCAUCAUGCCCCUUAUGAUUUGGGCUACACACGUGCUACAAUGGACAAUACAAAGGGCAGCGAAACCGCGAGGUCAAGCAAAUCCCAUAAAGUUGUUCUCAGUUCGGAUUGUAGUCUGCAACUCGACUACAUGAAGCUGGAAUCGCUAGUAAUCGUAGAUCAGCAUGCUACGGUGAAUACGUUCCCGGGUCU
rnacentral:rRNA from 1 species